rnacentral:rRNA from 1 species
AUUGAACGCUGGCGGCAGGCCUAACACAUGCAAGUCGAGCGGAUGAAGAGAGCUUGCUCUCUGAUUUAGCGGCGGACGGGUGAGUAAUGCCUAGGAAUCUGCCUGGUAGUGGGGGAUAACGUCCGGAAACGGGCGCUAAUACCGCAUACGUCCUACGGGAGAAAGCAGGGGACCUUCGGGCCUUGCGCUAUCAGAUGAGCCUAGGUCGGAUUAGCUAGUUGGUGAGGUAAUGGUUCACCAAGGCUACGACCCGUAACUGGUCUGAGCAGAUGAUCAGUCACACUGGAAGUGAGCCACGGUCCAGACUCCUACGGGAGGCAGCAGUGGGGAAUAUUGGACAAUGGGCGAAAGCCUGAUCCAGCCAUGCCGCGUGUGUGAAGAAGGUCUUCGGAUUGUAAAGCACUUUAAGUUGGGAGGAAGGGCAGUAAGUUAAUACCUUGCUGUUUUGACGUUACCGACAGAAUAAGCACCGGCUAACUUCGUGCCAGCCGCCGCCGUAAAAC